AGAGUUUGAUCAUGGCUCAGAAUCAACGCUGGCGGCGUGCCUAACACAUGCAAGUCGCACGAGAAAGUGGAGCAAUCCAUGAGUACAGUGGCGCACGGGUGAGUAACACGUGACUAACCUACCUUCGAGUGGGGAAUAACCUCGGGAAACCGGGGCUAAUACCGCAUAACAUCUUCUGGCUGAGAUGCCGGUUGAUCAAAGUAGUAAUGUGCUUGAAGAGGGGGUCGCGGCUGAUUAGCUAGUUGGUGGGGUAACGGCCCACCAAGGCGAUGAUCAGUAGCCGGCCUGAGAGGGCGCACGGCCACACUGGAACUGAAACACGGUCCAGACUCCUACGGGAGGCAGCAGUGGGGAAUUUUGCGCAAUGGGGGAAACCCUGACGCAGCAACGCCGCGUGGAGGAUGAAGUCCCUUGGGACGUAAACUCCUUUCGAUCGGGACGAUUAUGACGGUACCGGAAGAAGAAGCCCCGGCUAACUUCGUGCCAGCAGCCGCGGUAAUUC
rnacentral:rRNA from 1 species